UGUAUAUUUGGUAGUAGAUUUAGGAAUAAAAUUUUGAAGAGUUAUAAAAAUAAUUAUUAAAAAUGUAUGUUGUAAGUUUAAACUAAAUCAAAUAGUUGAAUUGAAGGUUAUUGAAUUUCAAGUAGGUUGAAGUCUUGAGAAUUAGAUUUUAAAGAGAAGUUAGGAUUUUAAAGAUCUUUAGUAAUCUACUAAUUGAAUUGGAGUGAAAUUUAUAUAUAAGGAUAAUAGACUUUAUUUUCUACAUAUAAGUAAAUUUUAAAAAUAAUUAAACAACCUAAGAAAGAAAUAUUGGUACUAGAAGACUAGCAUCAAGAUUGAAGAAAGAGGCCGGCCAAUAGUCAAGCAAAUUUUAAUAUUUUUCUUCUAUUUUGAUAAAUUUGAUUCUCUUUAAAUUUCAUGUGCUUAUUUUCAACUUAUUUUUUGAAAAGUGUAUAAAAUUUUAAACAAAUUAAAUAGUUUAAUCAAUAGAUAUUGAGGUUCUAAACUAUGCUCAUGUUAGGUUGAAUUGAUUAGGUUUUGAUUAGGAUUUGGUUUAGAAUUAGGAUUGAACUUGUGUUUACGAAUUGAUUUAGGAUUUAGUAUUUUCUUAGGAUUUAGGUUUGGUUUAAGAUUUAAGAUUUUCUUAGAGUUUAGAAUUUGGCCUAAGGUUUGAUUAAAGUCCAUUAAGAUUUCAACUAGGAUUAAAUUAGGACUUGGUUGAGAUUUAUUAAAGAUAUAUUUGUGAUUAUUUAAAUAUUUUUUAAAAAUUUUCUUAAGGAUUCUU
rnacentral:lncRNA from 1 species